UAUAUAUAUACUAAAUCUCCAUAUUCAGCUUUGAGUCAAGAAGUAAAACCAGGAGGACUAUACAACCGGAGGUGGAUGCAAUGUAUUGGAAUCGAAUUCAUCUGAACAUAGUACUUCUUAUGCGGAACACAAAUAAAUAUGCAAAAAUUUACAAAAAAUGUAAUAAUUGUGUUGUAGGUUUGAACUUCUAACAUUAAGAUUAAGUGAAUUUAAAGCUAAAAACCUUAAAAGCUAAACCCUUAGAGCAUAAAUUUUGGAUACGACUCUGUAUACGACUAUUCUUUUGAAGAGCGCAAGUAUUUCAUCCCUCAUGUGUUGGAGUUAGUGAGACAUUUGCUCUUGAGUUCUAGCAUAUGACACACACGACCUUCAAUUAUUUUACUCCAAUUUUGUUUACGGUUUUUCUCCGAGGAAAAUAUGAUAAAUAAUGAUCAAUUAGUUGAGACUUUAGGUCUCUCAUUUAUCACAAGAGUAAUUUUGAUCGAGGUCACAAUACUAGAAUAUCUAAAAAGUAGAAGUAUUCUUUUAGUUCUUUGAUUUCAGUGAUCAUGAGAAGUCUUACAAAACAAAAGAAGUGUUACGAUCCAAACUCCGUUCCGGACGUGAUGAUGUCUCUCGUGAAAAUAAUGCCAACCACUUAACUCAAAUUGCCUUUUUCAAAAAUAGAUACAUGAAUAAAUCAUUUUAAAGAUGAUUUAAUAACAUUACUUAGCGGAAGUACAAGAGGAGUUACUCUAAUGGUAAGCAACCCC
rnacentral:lncRNA from 1 species